rnacentral:rRNA from 1 species
AACGUAGGAGACAAACGUUAUCCGGAGUUACUGGGCGUAAAGGGCGUGUAGGUGGUUUCGUAAGUCUGGCGUGAAAUUUCUCGGCUUAACCGAGGCAGGUCGUCGGAUACUGCGGAGCUUGAGGACGGUAGAGGCGUGUGGAAUUCCGGGUGUAGUGGUGAAAUGCGUAGAGAUCCGGAGGAACACCAGUGGCGAAGGCGACACGCUGGGCCGUACCUGACACUGAUGCGCGACAGCAUGGGGAGCAAACAGG